CCUACGGGAGGCAGCAGUGGGGAAUUUUGGACAAUGGGGGCAACCCUGAUCCAGCAAUGCCGCGUGAGUGAAGAAGGCCUUCGGGUUGUAAAGCUCUUUUGUCAGGGAAGAAACGGUGAGGGCUAAUAUCCUUUGCUAAUGACGGUACCUGAAGAAUAAGCACCGGCUAACUACGUGCCAGCAGCCGCGGUAAUACGUAGGGUGCAAGCGUUAAUCGGAAUUACUGGGCGUAAAGCGUGCGCAGGCGGUUAUGUAAGUCAGAUGUGAAAUCCCCGGGCUCAACCUGGGAAUGGCAUUUGAGACUGCAUGGCUAGAGUGUGUCAGAGGGGGGUAGAAUUCCACGUGUAGCAGUGAAAUGCGUAGAGAUGUGGAGGAAUACCGAUGGCGAAGGCAGCCCCCUGGGAUAACACUGACGCUCAUGCACGAAAGCGUGGGGAGCAAACAGGAUUAGAUACCCUGGUAGUCCACGCCCUAAACGAUGUCUACUAGUUGUCGGGACUUAAUUGUCUUGGUAACGCAGCUAACGCGUGAAGUAGACCGCCUGGGGAGUACGGUCGCAAGAUUAAAACUCAAAGGAAUUGACGGAAGC
rnacentral:rRNA from 1 species